CCUACGGGUGGCAGCAGUGAGGAAUAUUGGUCAAUGGACGAGAGUCUGAACCAGCCAAGUAGCGUGAAGGAUGACUGCCCUAUGGGUUGUAAACUUCUUUUAUAUGGGAAUAAAAUGUUCCACGUGUGGGAUUUUGUAUGUCCCAUAUGAAUAAGGAUCGGCUAACUCUGUGCCAGCAGCCGCGGUAAGACGGAGGAUCCGAGCGUUAUCCGGAUUUAUUGGGUUUAAAGGGAGCGUAGGUGGAUUGUUAAGUCAGUUGUGAAAGUUUGCGGCUCAACCGUAAAAUUGCAGUUGAAACUGGCAGUCUUGAGUACAGUAGAGGUGGGCGGAAUUCGUGGUGUAGCGGUGAAAUGCUUAGAUAUCACGAAGAACUCCGAUUGCGAAGGCAGUUCACUGGACUGCAAAUGACACUGAGGCUCGAAAGUGUGGGUAUCAAACAGGAUUAGAUACCCUUGUAGUC
rnacentral:rRNA from 1 species